rnacentral:rRNA from 1 species
AGCAGCCGCGGUAAUUCCAGCUCCAAUAGCGUAUAUUAAAGUUGUUGCAGUUAAAAAGCUCGUAGUUGAAUUUCGGGAUCAAUACGUCGGUCGUGCCUCUGGUAUGUACUGGUGUUAUUGAUUUCUCCCUUCUGAUGAAUCAUGAUGUCAUUAAUUUGGUGUUGUGUGGAGUCAGGACUGUUACUUUGAAAAAUUAGAGUGUUUAAAGCAGGCUCACGCUUGAAUACAUUAGCAUGGAAUAAUGAAAUAGGACGUUCGAUCCUAUUUUGUUGGUUUCUAGGAUCAACGUAAUGAUUAAUAGGGAUAGUUGGGGGCAUUAGUAUUCAAUUGUCAGAGGUGAAAUUCUUGGAUUUAUUGAAGACUAACUACUGCGAAAGCAUUUGCCAAGGAUGUUUUCAUUAAUCAAGAACGAAAGUUAGGGGAUCGAAGACGAUCAGAUACCGUCGUAGU